GUGCUUGCUUCGGCAGCACGUAUACUGAAACUGGAACGAUACAGAGAAGAUCAGCAUGGCCCCUGCGCAAGGAUGACAUGCAAAUUAAUGAAGUGUUCCAUAGUUUG